UGGAACUGCAUUUGAUACUGGCAAACUAGAGUAUGGUACAGGAAUGGGGAAUUUCUGGUGUAGCGGUGAAAUGCGUAGAGAUCAGAAGGAACACCAAUGGCGAAGGCAACAUUCUGGACCAAUACUGACACUGAGGGACGAAAGCGUGGGGAUCAAACAGGAUUAGAUACCCUGGUAGUCCACGCUGUAAACGAUGAGUACUAGCUGUUGGAUUCGGUGUAAAGGAUCUAGUGGCGUAGCUAACGCGUUAAGUACUCCGCCUGGGGACUACGGCCGCAAGGCUAAAACUCAAAGGAAUUGACGGGGACCCGCACAAGCGGUGGAGCAUGUGGUUUAAUUCGAUGCAACGCGAAGAACCUUACCUGGUCUUGACAUCCUGCGAACUUUCUAGAGAUAGAUUGGUGCCUUCGGGAACGCAGUGACAGGUGCUGCACGGCUGUCGUCAGCUCGUGUUGUGAAAUGUUGGGUUAAGUCCCGCAACGAGCGCAACCCCUAUUGAUAGUUACCAUCAUUAAGUUGGGUACUCUAUUGAGACUGCCGCUGACAAGGCGGAGGAAGGUGGGGACGACGUCAAGUCAUCAUGGCCCUUACGACCAGGGCUACACACGUGCUACAAUGGGUAUUACAGAGGGCAGCGAAGUAGCGAUAUGGAGCGAAACUCAGAAAGGUACUCUUAGUCCGGAUUGCAGUCUGCAGCUCGACUGCAUGAAGUCGGAAUCGCUAGUAAUCGCAGGUCAGAAUACUGCGGUGAAUACGUUCCCGGGUCUUGUACACACCGCCCGUCACACCAUGGGAGUGGGUUGCUC
rnacentral:rRNA from 1 species